rnacentral:sRNA from 1 species
UUGACUUGCAAAUGAUAAUGAUUAUUAUUGGGCUCAGCUGAUCGCGAGAUCAGUCGAUAGACCAAGAGACCUUAGGUCGGACUCUUGGAAUAUCUCCUCAUCAGGCUAAUCACGGUUUUUGACCCGGCUCUUUGGCCGGGUCUUUUUUU